rnacentral:rRNA from 1 species
UGUUCCUACGGGGGGCAGCAGUGAGGAAUAUUGGUCAAUGGGCGGGAGCCUGAACCAGCCAAGUCGCGUGAGGGAUGACGGCCCUAUGGGUUGUAAACCUCUUUUGCCGGGGAGCAAAGUGCCGCACGUGUGCGGUUUGGAGAGUACCCGGAGAAAAAGCAUCGGCUCACUCCGUGCCAGCAGCCGCGGUAAUACGGAGGAUUCUAGCGUUAUCCUGAUUUAUUUUGUUUAAAUGGUGCGUAUGCUGACGCUUCAGUCAGCGGUCAAAUUGC